UCCCUUCUUGUUUAUCUGUAUUUCAUGGACAGGAUGAGUUCUGUAUUUCAUGGACAGGAUGAGUUCGGCAAAAUUGGCCAUUAGCUUUAACUUAAAUUUUGUAUUUGAGUUUAAAAGUUUUCAGGAAUCCACUGAGCUGCAUUAUUUAAUAUUCAGAACUUAUAAAAAAUCAAAAUUCUAAUUUCAACUUUGUUGGUACUCAAAAUUAGAGAUUCGCCUAUGAAUUCGGCAAAACUAACAACGUAUUUAUACUUAAAAAAUGUACUUAAUUUGUAAAAACAAUUUAUUAGGAAUCUACUAAAGCUGCACAAUUUAGUAUCCAAAAGUUAUAAACUCAAAAUUCCUCCCUCAGCUUUAUUGGUACUCAAAACUGAAUUCGGCAAAAGUAGUAGCUAACUUUAACUACUUUUAAAUUCUGUAUUUGUGUUAAAAAAACUAUUUAAUAUGUAACAUUAAUUUAUCAAGAAUUCACUAAACUUCUUUUUAUGAUAUUGAAAACUCACAAACUAAAAAUUCUAAUUUCACCUCCAUUGAUAUGAUACUCAAUUUGUUUUGACAACAAUUUUAUUACCCAUAGAAACAAAAGCUACAAAUAAAUAUGCGAGUGUCAUGUGAAUAUAUACAUGUUUUUUAUUUGACAGUCUUCACUCACUCACAAUUCUAACAUGUGAAUAUAUAUAUGUCUUACGAUUGUUUUUCUAAAAACUUAUUUUUGAAAACUAACAAAAACCAAAUAUUAAUGUCACCUUGAUAUUAUCAUCCACUUGCCAUUGUAUUUUAGUGAAGCAUUUAAAGGAAAACGUGGAGCCAUAACCACCUUAAAUUAAAGCUAGCAAAUAAAUACUGUCGGAAAUUUGGUAUUUACUUUUCAGUCUGCGUAAUCAGAUUAUAAAAUUAAUACUAUAUGCUGAAAAAAAAUAAUCAUUCAUGCUAAUCAUAUACUUUAUGUUGCUCAAAUUUUUCAAAAGUAUACUAUUUUUGAAAGAUUAGAUACAUACCAAUCAACACUUAUUUGAGGAAUUCGAGCAAUGUAGCUAAUGCUUCUUUUGUUUAUUUUUUAUUUAUCAUAUUUGGACUUGACAUAUUCAUUAAAAAAAUAAUGAAUGACAUGACUAUUUUACUAUAUUAUUUCUAUUAAAUGAUGUUUAAUAUUAAGUAUUAAAACAAAAAAAUAGAUAAUUAAUGCUAAGGAUAAAACAUGAAAAAAUAACCAUUUUUUAAAAAUAUGUUAGAAAUAACAACUAAAAAUUAAAAUCCAUUUUAAAAGAGGAAACAAAUGAAAGUGAACAAAUAAAACGAUUAAUGGUAGGUAAGCAUUUAAACUAAGCAUAGGAAAAUAUGAACACUAACCUAAUAAUGGACCAAUUAUAACCUUCUACACUAGUGUAUCGGGCCGGGCUGGUUGGAGGUCAUCCCAGUCCAAUCCAUUAGCAGGCAUAGGCUUAAUAGGUGAGUCUUAAGGGGCUUAGUUCGGGCUCGGGCUCGGGCUCGGGCUCAGGUGCAGGCUGGUCUCAUCAGGAGCCUAGACCGGUACUGUGGGCCCAACACAUAGAGAACCUCUUAACUAGGCCUUCACCCUCUAUCCCCUUUCAGGGGUUCCAAGCCCAACCUUAUCUAAUUAGCGGUCAGUCAGUCAGUCACUUAACAUUCUUACCUUCCGCAAAGUAUCAUAUACAAACUUAUAAAAUGUACCUAAUUAAUCAGCACAUCACAUGUUGCGCUCUUGCAACUGAAGCAAACAUCAUCAUAACAUAUUUAGCAUGAAAGAUCAACAUGAAGCACCAAAAGCGAGCAUGAAGAAGCCAUAAAACUCAAGAUGGAUAGCGCUAUAGAUAGUUAUUAAGAUGUAUUCAUGGUGCUAUCCCUCCUGAGCUUUAUAGAUUCUCUAUACCAAUUCCACAAGAACAACAUACAUAGUUUAUCUCCAACACAUAUACAUAUAUAUUGAGUGAGAAAAUGAAUGGCAAAAGGAGAAAGAAGUACUAAUAAAAAGAUAUAUAGAUAAAUGUA
rnacentral:lncRNA from 1 species